rnacentral:rRNA from 1 species
GAUGAACGCUGGCGGCGUGCUUAACACAUGCAAGUCGAACGGGAAAUAUUUCAUUGAGAGUUGGGUGGGUUUGAUUUAUUUGUAGGGGCGGCCGGGGUAGUAACGCGUGGGUAUCCUGCCUUCUUCAGGGGGAUAACGGUCAGACAUGGCUGCUGAUCCCGCAUAAGGGCGCAGAGCUGCAUGGCUCGGUGGGUAAGAGUGGGGUGGUAUAGGAUGGACCCGCGUGGGAGUUGCUGGUUGGUGGGGGAACGGCCGAGCAAGGCGACGAUCCGGAGCCGGCGUGAGAGGGUGAACGGCCAGAUCGGGACUGCGACCCGGCCUCGACUCCUACGGAAGACAGCAGUAGGUAAUAUUGCACACUGGGGGAAAACCUGAUGCAGCGACGCCGCGUGAAGGAACAAGUAUCUCGGAAUGCACACUUCUAUCAGCCGAGAAGAUAGUGACGGUACCUGACUAAGAAGCCCCGGCUAACUACGUG